UUUUUUCCAAGCGGGGGGCAUGUUGUUUAAUUUGAAGGAACGGGGAGAACCUUACCCACCCUUGACCUCCCGGUUGGGGUUUCCAGAGGAGGAUUCCUUUCAUUUGGGUGGACCGGUGCCCGGUGGUGCCUGGGCGUUGUUCAGUUGGGUUGGGGGAAGGUUGGGUAAGUCCCGCAACGGGCGCCACCCUUGCCCUUUGUUGCCCACCUUUAAUUGGGCCAUUUAGGAGGACCCCCGGGUCAAAACCGAGAGGAAGGUGGGGAUGACGUCAAGUCCUCAUGGCCCUUACGGGCUGGGCUACACACGUGCUACAAUGGUGGUGACAGUGGGCAGCAAGCCCGCGAGGUAGAGCUAAUCUCCAAAAGCCGUCUCAGUUCGGAUUGCACUCUGCAACUCGAGUGCAUGAAGUGGAAUUCCCUAUUAAUCCCGAAUCACCAGGCCGCGGUGAAUACUUUUCCCGGACCAA
rnacentral:rRNA from 1 species